UACGGAGGGUGCAAGCGUUAUCCGGAUUCACUGGGUUUAAAGGGUGCGUAGGUGGGUUGGUAAGUCAGUGGUGAAAUCUCCAGGCUUAACUUGGAAACUGCCAUUGAUACUAUCAAUCUUGAAUACCGUGGAGGUCAGCGGAAUACGUCAUGUAGCGGUGAAAUGCUUAGAUAUGACAUAGAACACCAAUUGCGAAGGCAGCUCACUACACGAAUAUUGACACUGAGGCACGAAAGCGUGGGGAUCAAACAGG
rnacentral:rRNA from 1 species